AUACAUGCAAGUCGAGCGGACAGAUGGGAGCUUGCUCCCUGAUGUUAGCGGCGGACGGGUGAGUAACACGUGGGUAACCUGCCUGUAAGACUGGGAUAACUCCGGGAAACCGGGGCUAAUACCGGAUGCUUGAUUGAACCGCAUGGUUCAAUUAUAAAAGGUGGCUUUUAGCUACCACUUACAGAUGGACCCGCGGCGCAUUAGCUAGUUGGUGAGGUAACGGCUCACCAAGGCAACGAUGCGUAGCCGACCUGAGAGGGUGAUCGGCCACACUGGGACUGAGACACGGCCCAGACUCCUACGGGAGGCAGCAGUAGGGAAUCUUCCGCAAUGGACGAAAGUCUGACGGAGCAACGCCGCGUGAGUGAUGAAGGUUUUCGGAUCGUAAAACUCUGUUGUUAGGGAAGAACAAGUACCGUUCGAAUAGGGCGGUACCUUGACGGUACCUAACCAGAAAGCCACGGCUAACUACGUGCCAGCAGCCGCGGUAAUACGUAGGUGGCAAGCGUUGUCCGGAAUUAUUGGGCGUAAAGCGCGCGCAGGCGGUUUCUUAAGUCUGAUGUGAAAGCCCCCGGCUCAACCGGGGAGGGUCAUUGGAAACUGGGGAACUUGAGUGCAGAAGAGGAGAGUGGAAUUCCACGUGUAGCGGUGAAAUGCGUAGAGAUGUGGAGGAACACCAGUGGCGAAGGCGACUCUCUGGUCUGUAACUGACGCUGAGGCGCGAAAGCGUGGGGAGCGAACAGGAUUAGAUACCCUGGUAGUCCACGCCGUAAACGAUGAGUGCUAAGUGUUAGAGGGUUUCCGCCCUUUAGUGCUGCAGCAAACGCAUUAAGCACUCCGCCUGGGGAGUACGGUCGCAAGACUGAAACUCAAAGGAAUUGACGGGGGCCCGCACAAGCGGUGGAGCAUGUGGUUUAAUUCG
rnacentral:rRNA from 1 species